UAAACGGCCCUUUUCAGGGCCACUCCGCAAAAAUAAUACGAACAAA
rfam:Lasius niger Lnig_2.1_3260, whole genome shotgun sequence.